AAUACCCUACCGUGCGCGUGUCCGGUCGCCUAAGUUUUGAGCUAACACUGUUAUAAUGGGAGCCUGACUUUAUAUGUGGCGUAGAAGCCCUAAAAUAAGGGGACCUACAAAGCAUAUAAGAGGGCGCCCCCCUGUUGGGGGAGAGUUCAAAACAGCGGCUCCACGUCAUGGUGGGGUUUUU
rnacentral:other from 1 species